UAGUGGCGAACGGGUGAGUAACACGUGGGCAAUCUGCCCUUCACUCUGGGACAAGCCCUGGAAACGGGGUCUAAUACCGGAUAAUACCUGCCUGGGCAUCUGGGUGGGUUAAAAGCUCCGGCGGUGAAGGAUGAGCCCGCGGCCUAUCAGCUUGUUGGUGAGGUAGUGGCUCACCAAGGCGACGACGGGUAGCCGGCCUGAGAGGGCGACCGGCCACACUGGGACUGAGACACGGCCCAGACUCCUACGGGAGGCAGCAGUGGGGAAUAUUGCACAAUGGGCGAAAGCCUGAUGCAGCGACGCCGCGUGAGGGAUGACGGCCUUCGGGUUGUAAACCUCUUUCAGCAGGGAAGAAGCGAAAGUGACGGUACCUGCAGAAGAAGCGCCGGCUAACUACGUGCCAGCAGCCGNGGUAAUACGUAGGGCGCAAGCGUUGUCCGGAAUUAUUGGGCGUAAAGGAGCUCGUAGGCGGCUUGUCACGUCGGGUGUGAAAGCCCGGGGCUUAACCCCCGGGUCUGCAUUCGAUACGGGCUAGCUAGAGUGUGGUAGGGGAGAUCGGAAUUCCU
rnacentral:rRNA from 1 species